GGAUAGGCGAAGAAUGUUUCUAUUGUGUUUAAAUUAAGUUGACGGGCGCGGUUUUACUUUCACCGUUCGAGUGCUGGCGGCAUUCUUCGACGGCGCAGCGCGUGCACCUUUCUUGCCUCUCUUUCUUCGGCGACGGUUAUGGAAAGUAAACCGCGUCUGACACAUCGGGGUCGCAAAAAGGAUGUAGGGUGACGGAACUGCGAAAUAACGCGUAAGCGGCCGUCAAGGAUAACACGGCUGUUUCCUACUUGUGUAAUCUCCGCCCGGGCUGGAAAAAUCUUACGGGUGCAACACGCACGUGUGACGUGUUAGCUCACGUAGCGUAAUACAUUAAUGAUAAAUGGAAUGAAAAAUUGCACGAAUUAUUUGUAAGUGUGUGCAAUCGCGCGCGAAAACAUUUUUUUCUUCGUUCACGACUGUACGAGGAUGCAAUCGUUUUAUCGCAAUGCGAUGAAUCAGCUGAAGCUCGUAUGCAACGUUAAAUUUGGUGAUUUUUUUCUUAUCUACACGAAAAGAACAGUUUCGCUAAAGUAUUUAAAAAUUUAGUUGACUACAGAUCUGAAAGUAAUUUUGCUAGAUCAAAAUAAUUAUGUAGAACGCUCAAGCUGGUGGCUACAAUAAUUAAAGCUUUUUAUAUGGUAUUGCUUGCUCAUUAUUGAUUGAAAGCUCAUUGUUUCAUAAUUAUUUUCAUGACAACAAAACUAAUUUUAGAUCUAUGUUGAGUUAAAUUUUAGACACUUUAGCAAAAUUAUUCUUUCCGUGCAUCUAUUGCUAUAAAUCAGACAACAAAAUGCAAGAUUGCGGAGUAGAAUCUUGUUAAAAGAUCUUAUCGAUCUCUUACUUUUUUUUUUAAUCUUGCCAUUUUCUAAACGCCAUUUUAUAUUUAACUUUUUAGAGUGUGGGAACCUUUUUCCGAAGACAUACAAGAUGUUCGCGUAACUUUAUCACUGUAAGGGGUUUGAAAGGUGAUGAUUGGCGCGUGAAAGGAAGCGAGUUUAAAGGGUAGGUAGCACGAAGAGAAGAGCAUAAAACGGCGGGUGGAUAUUAAAAGCUUCGUUUAUUUCUCAAUUUCUUGUAUCCCUUUUCAUAUUAUGAAUAUAAUAACGAUUCUUAUCACGCUUUGUCGUAAGUAUCUUAUCAUCGGAACAUCGAGAACGUUGGUCGAGGACACCGGCGUGAACUCGAUCGACGUCACGCAUUCGCGUUUUCCGCUCUGCGCCCAAUUCCAAUUGUGGCGCAAUUAACGAGCCCCAUGUCGAUCGAGUUCUUCCGGAAAGGCUUAAACGUAACCUUCCGCCUCGAUACGUACUCCCUUCGCUCACUAUUAGAUCGACGAUCGAAUCACAUUUGCGUUCUCUAUCUAAAUUCCUUAAGUAUCUCUGUCUCUCAUCGAUUAGGAAGUAGACAAACGUGUGCGGAGCGUUUUUCGACUGACUUAAGCGAUCUAUUUGCGGCCAGCGUAAUUCAGGAAAACGUACGCGACCCUCGUAAAUGUUCGCGAUUCUCCCAUAUCUUCCCCUUAAUGACUAAACACCCGAAUGAAGAUCGAAAUAACACACGAAGAAACCGGAGCAUGCAAAUUCGAACGUGCGCGUGUGUACGUAUGUAUGUAUGUAUGUAUGUAUGUGUACGUAUGUAUAAGAGUGUCUGUUGCAUGUCUAUAAGCUGUUCUCUAAGAAGAUGCAUAUUGAUAAUACGAACGUGUCUUCCUCAGACACAGCCGUUUCAUUUUGAAAAGAUAUUUUUUUAGACUAAAACAGAGCAAAUGAAAUAGGAGGGCUUAUUUUUCGCUCAAACUGUCUUAAAUCCAUACUUUCAGAAAUUAGUGUUACAAAGCUGUGGAAAUUAUUAUUACAUAAAAUAUUAUAAUUCCACAGCUUCAUAAUAGCGUAACCUUUUAAUAUCGAAUUUAUUUACUUUUUGAUAAGGAUGUAAGACAGUUUGAAAAUAAGCUCUUUAAUUUGAAACUUGGAGAAUCGACAGUUAAAAAUUUACUAAUUUUGAGUUACUAAUUUUUAAUUAAAUCUUUCUUUGUUUAAAAAUUUAAUUUGAAAAUCAACAGAUUAUCGAAAUCUGAUGUAGUAAUUUAAAGUAACGAUAUGUAAACUGUACAAAUUACACUUUUGUGCUAAGAUUAAACAUUUUGACCUUCGAUUUUUUUCAAGAAUAGAGCUUUACUGUUGAUCUGAAGCAUAUUACAUGUGUAUUCUUGUGUCGCUCGUAUUGCAGCUUGUAUUUUGAGAAACAAUAAGACAAUAAAAUGGAAAACAAACAGCUAUGUAUCGAUCGUGGAAAGAGGAUAAAAUCUUAAAAUCUGUGGAAGUACAAAAUUGGAAGAGUAGAAAAGGACUAGGAAUAGUUAAAAAUCGAGCUCAAAAUUUGUGAAAUGUUCACUGCAUAUUUGCAAUGAUAUUGAUUAAUAUUGACGCUAUAUUUCAGCACAGGUACCGUUUUUGAUAAUUAAAAUCUAUCAUAUUCCUCCUUUUAUAUUUUGAUACGAAUUUAGAUAACUAAUCUGAGUAAAGUGUAUAUAUGGGGAUAAAAUUGGUAUACAAAUUAAUUUAUGAAAAUAUAUUGCAUCCCUUUAUAUGAUUAAAAUAUGUGAAAUAACAUCUGCGUUCAGGGUUUACAGUGAGACUAUUUGGCAAGAGAAUACAAUACUAUUUAAGCUGUAGCUUAGUAAUUUUUAAUUAAAUUUUUGUUACUUUUUAAGGAAGCAUUUGCGAACAAGCUGAAGCUUUUCCACUUAGAAUUUCUUAUUCAAUCCCACUUUCCCUUCAUUACACUGUAGGUAAAAUAAAAUAUAUAAUUUCUUAUUCGAUCUCACUUUCCCGUCAUUACACUGUAGGUAAAAUAAAAUAAAAAAUAUUUUGCGCAUUAAUUAUAGCAUUUCAAUUAUAAAAGAAACAAUUUUUAUAAAUCGAAACGAUCUUAAAGUUAUAUUGCUCUUUAUGAUUUGUGACAUUAAAAAAUAAAUAACAGUAUAGAAAAUACUAAAUUUUAAACUUUCAACUGUAAUUAACUUCGAAUAAGUACACUUGCAGUGAUAUAACGUUUAAUGGGAAUAAAGGAAUGUAAUGAGUAUCGCGAUUAAAAAUCAAAUAAUUGGUUAAGAUUAAACAGAAACCUGAGAAAAGAUAUAUAAAGUGGAAGCUUGAGAAAUGAUUCAAGGUAUCUUGGAUGUUUAUGUUUCGUUAUUCGUAAAAUCGUAUAUGUUCGUUGACUAGAUGAUGUAAUGCCCAGUCUACAAUGAGUCGUUGGUCGUUGGUCGUAAGAAAUUUAACCAAUCACAGUUGAUCUUAGAGAAGAAUAACCGAACAUAAUUGGUUAAAUUUCUUACGACCAACGACCAACGACUCAUUGUAGACUGGGCAUAAAGCUUUGUAAUAAUACAUAAUAUUGUAAUAUGUAACGUAUUUUUAGAACUCGCCCCUUAGGCCUUUAAUAACGAAAAAAGUAACGCGGUGUGUGCACAGGUCCCAUAAUCACUGGAUAUCCUAUAACCGCAGUUUCUUUGGUUCAUUUGGAGAUUUUUCCUUAGCGAGAAUAUCGAAGGAAAUCGUUCUUUACUUUAUUUAAUCGCACGUUUUCGAUCUUUAACGUUGGAUAGUUUCAUAUUCAAAUAAAAAUCCUAUUAAUUAUUUAUUCUCCACUUUUGAGAAGCUGAGCGAGAGGAAUAUGUUAUUUUUCUAUCCCGAAAUUUCAUCCGCUAGAGGUUCUUUCAAUAGUUCAAUAAUUCAAUUGUUAAAAAAAAAAAAAAAAAAA
rnacentral:lncRNA from 1 species